GGGCGCUUAGCUCAGUUGGUAGAGCAGCUGACUCUUAAUCAGCGGGUCCACGGUUCGAGCCCGUGAGCGCCCACCA
rnacentral:tRNA from 3 species